rnacentral:rRNA from 1 species
UGGGGAAUUUUGGACAAUGGGCGAAAGCCUGAUCCAGCCAUGCCGCGUGAGUGAAGAAGGCCUUCGGGUUGUAAAGCUCUUUUAGUCGGAAAGAAAAGAUCAUAAUGAACAAUUAUGAUUCAUGACGGUACCGACAGAAAAACGCACCGGCUAACUACGUGCCAGCAGCCGCGGUAAUACGUAGGGUGCGAGCGUUAAUCGGAAUUACUGGGCGUAAAGGGUGCGCAGGUCGGUUUUGUAAGUCAGAUGUGAAAUCCCCGGGCUUAACCUGGGAAUUGCGUUUGAAACUGCAAGACUAGAGUGCAGCAGAGGGGAGUGGAAUUCCGAUGUGUAGCAGUGAAAUGCGUAGAGAUGUAGGAAGAACACCGGAUGGCGAAGGCAGCUCCCGUAGGGUUNACNCGU